rnacentral:misc_RNA from 1 species
UACGUAGGGGGCAAGCGUUGUCCGGAAUCAUUGGGCGUAAAGAGCGCGUAGGCGGCCCGGUAAGUCCGCUCUGAAAGUCAAAGGCUCAACCUUUGAAAGCGGGUGGAUACUGCCGGGCUAGAGUCCGGAAGAGGCGAGUGGAAUUCCUGGUGUAGCGGUGGAAUGCGCAGAUAUCAGGAGGAACACCAACGGCGAAGGCAGCUCGCUGGGACGGUACUGACGCUGAGGCGCGAAAGCGUGGGGAGCAAACAGG